AUGAUCAGAGCGCUCCCUCCUGAGUACAUAUCCUGGGGAGAUAGAUAUUCUGAAUACAGAGUACAGAGUUAUGUUAGCUGCAGAUGGGUGUCAUCAAUGAAGAAAUGAGGUAGAAGUGUCUUAGGUAGAAUCUUUUGCUUUUUAUCUUCUCCGAAUAUAAUAUUGAUGUACAUCAUUACAAAGCAAUAUCCGGAACACCAUCGCUUUCAAUAAAGAAUCCAGCCCAGAAUAAGUCAACACUCUGCCAGGACAAGUACCUUGAAGAAAUCACUGGGACCAAAGAUGGACUGCCGUCUCUUGAAUCAACAUAGAAACGAAAAUAUGCAGUAUUUCAAACAAAGACUUAAAUGGCUCUUGGAAGAGGUGUGUGGGUUUCCAUGUACAGUAUGAUUCUGUGGAGGCCACGUCAUAAUGAUUCAAACUGAGGAGCAGCACGCAGACUGGAAGGGUCUUGGAUUACAGCCUUCUUUUCAUUAGAAAGAAACAUUUCCAUCAAGAAGCCUCUGACGUAAAGAAAUGCUGACUUUGCAUGAAUGAUAUUUAUUAACCUGAGUGUUUUAUAGAUCAGUGAAGAUGUUAGUAUUAUGCAUGAUGUGCUGGUACUGACAGCACUAUCUCCAGGCAUUUCAUUGGGCACAGCGUUCCAAAAGAGUGUUUCUGUACAAGAGAAAGGCAAUGAGACUCCAUCUCCCUUUUAAUAAUUCAGUGAUGAUUUAACAGAAGAAUGAAACAGCCAGCAUGACCUAUGGAAAUGAUCCAUUUUAACUGCUGUCUUAGCACUGUCAUUAGGUGAUCCUGUCCUCAAUAAUAACAGUGGAGUCAUAAAACACAUUCACGCAAUAAAAUCAUAUUCAGGACUAAGAAAAUAACAUGAAGAAUUGUUAGUAUCGAGGAACUGUGCUAUUGCAUAAAUCAAAUCAGCUACAAAGCCUAUUUAUAAUACAUUAUUCAUGUCAACCACAUAUUUAGUGCCGGCAGAAAUAGUUGUGCUCUGAAUAUAAACGUUACGUUUGACGCACACAUACAGUAUAAUUCAGGGUUAAAACUUACCUUUUUAAUUCAAACUUGACAGCACUGUUGGUUGGUUUAAAAACUACCCCCCAAAAACGUGCGUGGCAUGCCACUGUAGGAACGCAGCCUGGUGAUUCACUGCACACGAGCGUACAGAAAUAGUGAAGGAUAAAAACAGCUGCUGUACAUAAAACACUAGGCUGUCUGACACUGACUGUGUCCCAGUUUCCAAUGUGAUGUGAUAUUCAAAAGAAUUAUCCUUAACCAAUGCUAAACUACCUGAAUUGAAUUAUUGGAGCUGGAAAUUGACAUAAUACAGGAUGCUUUAUAGUAAGCGUUUUCAGAAAUGUUUUAUUUGUUUCUUGUCUGUAAAAUAGCCCAUGUUUUGUGUUGUUUUAUUUCCUAUUGAUGUUUCUAUUUCGUUUAUUAUUUAGCAGGUUUUCUUUCUAAUUCCACUGUUCAAAACCAAUGUACAAUUUCAGAAAAGUGCAAUUAAAAGCGGUGUGCAGUAACAGGGACUCCUAGAAGUGCAAUCACACCAGGAACGAAGUGUAUUUGUGAUGAAAUAAGAGGAGCUCUGAGAGGCCCUUCCAGCUGUAGUUGUGAUUGAUCAUUUCCAGAGUGUCGAAGAGCAGCCGUUAUGCCAGCACUCUGCAUAUCUCACAUUACUUCACAUUAAAAAGCCAUGUUAGUAAAUGUAGGUUAUGUAGGUUGAAGCAGAUAUCCUCAAUUCUCCUUAGUCUUCAAUAGUAUGUAGUGUUAUGAUGUGAUUGCACAUUAAUACAUCUUUAUUUGCCAGUGCACAGCUAGUGUGUAUCUGUGUUUUGACGGUAUCCAUGCUGAUUAUGAAGCAUGACAUUCACUUUCCUUUGUGGGCUUGC